rnacentral:rRNA from 1 species
GGAGGGCAAGUCUGGUGCCAGCAGCCGCGGUAAUUCCAGCUCCAAUAGCGUAUAUUGAAGUUGUUGCAGUUAAAAAGCUCGUAGUUGAACCUUGGCUCUGGCUGGCCGGUCCGCCUCACCGCGAGUACUGGUCCGGCUGGAGCUUUCCUUCUGGGGAACCUCAUGGCCUUCACUGGCUGUGGGGGGAACCAGGGCUUUUACUGUGAAAAAAUUAGAGUGUUCAAAGCAGGCCUUUGCUCGGAUACAUUAGCAUGGAAUAAUAGAAUAGGACGUGCGGUUCUAUUUUGUUGGUUUCUAGGACCGCCGUAAUGAUUAAUAGGGAUAGUCGGGGGCGUCAGUAUUCAGCUGUCAGAGGUGAAAUUCUUGGAUUUGCUGAAGACUAACUACUGCGAAAGCAUUCGCCAAGGAUGUUUUCAUUAAUCAGGGAACGAAAGUUAGGGGAUCGAAGACGAUCAGAUACCGUCGUAGUCUUAACCAUAAACUAUGCCGACUAGGGAUCGGGCGGGGUUUCUAUGAUGACCCGCUCGGCACCUUACGAGAAAUCAAAGUUUUUGGGUUCUGGGGGGAGUAUGGUCGCAAGGCUGAAACUUAAAGAAUUGACGGAAGGGC